CAUCUCUUUUGCACACCGACCUUCAGACUUUGUUUUUAAAAAUAGCUAUCUCCAGAAUCAGAACAAAAAAUUCUGCCUAUUUAAUACUUAUGAAUAUUUCACAUCCAUGUUAUGAAUGUAUAAAUAGCAGUAAAGGAAAGAUGGCAGAUUUGGGGUAAAUGACCAUGUCAUGCAGCUCAAGCCCAAAGUGAAGCUAUGAAAUAGAUGGUUUGUCUUCAGGGCCUGACACUCCCUCUAGUCAGCAGGGCCUUCCCAAGUGACCCACUGCUACCGAGCCCUAAGGGACCGGUGACUUGCACGUGGGUCCUUUUGCCCAGAGCCACUCCCGCUAAUAGAAUGAGACUGGACUUGGAACAGCAGAGCAGAAACGUUAUUCAUUGAUCAACAAACAGAGGCCGAGUUCAUGCCGUAAAACUCCUUCUCCCGGAAGGGAAGUACUAUCAUCUUCUGAAGGUACUGACUGGUUUGCUUGCUGGUCUGCUUUCUGGCUGUCCCACUAGGAUAUGAGCUCUCGGGAGCGGCACUGUCGUGAUUCUGAGGCGGAGGUUACCAAACAGGCCUUUACCAGGGAGCCCUUGGCGUCAACGCUGCGGAAGGGGAGGAGACACGCAGGACUGGGCAGAGGGAGACCUUGGACCUCAUGCAAUCACGACAGGCAGCUCCGCACACCCGACAGGAAGUUCUGAAGAUGGGUGACCCUUCAGAACUAACCAGAUUUGGACUGGAGGCCCAGGCCUUUGGAUCUCUGGGCUAUUGAUAAUUGGAUGUGCGCUGUCCCAGGAAGGAGGCG
rnacentral:lncRNA from 1 species